UUAAUAACGCGCAUCAUAUGCACGCAGCGUUUGUAUUCUCUUUGCUUAUUGAUUGUUUAUUUUGCAGUGUUAAAAUGGCAACUGGACGAAGUUUAUCUGAAAAGCCACAUUACAAAUUAGAAGAUGCGCCACAAUUAUUUGAGAAGUUUAUCAAAGAUUACGACAGAAAGUACGCAAAUGACGAAGACAGAAAGAUUCACUAUGACGCAUUUGUGAGAAGAUUAGAGAAAAUAAACAAAGCGAACGCUUCCAAUACAGCGACCUAUGAUAUUAAUAAAUUCGCCGAUUACACACCGGAGGAUAGUAAACAAUUGUUUGGAUUUAAGAAACGUACAAUAUCUUUACAGGAUCAUCAAUAUAUCGUGGAUGACAUUUAACACAAUAUAAUAAUAUAAUCCAUGGAUACUCAUUUUAAAUGUGAAUCUAAAACUGUUUGUAAACCUGAAAGUUAUGUAAAUGGAAAUUAAACAGAUACCUAAUA